UACGUAGGUGGCGAGCGUUGUCCGGAUUUACUGGGCGUAAAGGGUGCGUAGGCGGGUUAUCAAGUCAGCGGUAAAAUCGUGGAGCUCAACUCCAUCCAGCCGUUGAAACUGGGGAUCUAGAGUGUGCGAGAAGUAUGCGGAAUGCGUGGUGUAGCGGUGAAAUGCAUAGAUAUCACGCAGAACUCCGAUUGCGAAGGCAGCAUACCGGCGCCCGACUGACGCUGAGGCACGAAAGCGUGGGGAUCGAACAGG
rnacentral:rRNA from 1 species